rnacentral:lncRNA from 1 species
UUAGGGGAACCUGUAGGGCCACUGCUUGCAAGAGCUCAACUGUUAGGCUUUGGGAUCUGUUACCAUUUCAACACCACUUUUGGUUCUCUUCUGCAAAGUGCCUCCACGAUGUCUUCAAGUGACUGGGAGAAGAAACGGCAUAUGAAAUAUGGUUAAUCCUGAUUAUAUCUAUGCACAUGUACCUACACUAAGGCUCAGGGGAGAAUUUAAUGUUGGCAUUGAACAUUUAUUAAGUUGGCAAAUGUUCUGAGGAAGUAAAAAGUAUAUAAAGUAAUUUAGGCCUAGGCAUUAAAGUGGAAUUGGAAGAUCAAGAGAGGACUGCACUCAUACCUGCUAAAUGUUAAGCCACAGAAGGUUCCAACAGACUUGGAUAACACCUUAAGUCAGAAUCCACUGGACUUCAACAUCUCUCAGCUGGGAGUACCCUAAUUAACUAACAAUUCAGAACAGCUCUGCAAUUUAGGAUUUCUGUCCAGCCAGUGAAUUGCCCCUCAAAACAACUUUUUCAAGAAAUCUCCUAUUAAAAACCUGAACUUGCCUUAAAGGACACUAUUUAGUGUUGCCCUAAUUCAGUGUACCUGAAUUGCAAUUCUUUUUUUCCCAAAUAUACUCUACUUUCUUUGGCAUCUGUGUUGAUUUUUUUCUUAGUUAAUGUAACAACAGAACUGCCACAUCAGUGCAGGGACUUCCUGAGGCCUUCUAGAUGCUCUCUGUGAUCUAUUCUUAGUUCUCUGUUUUCCUGGUAUUGCUUCAUAUUCAGGUCUAGAAUAGCAUCAACCAC